GUUUUUUGGUCAAGCUACUAAGGGCAGACGGAGGAUGCCUGGGUACCGGGAGGCGAAGAAGGACGCGGUAAGCUGCGAUAAGCUUCGGGGAGCUGCUAACAGGCUUUGAACCGGAGAUUUCCGAAUGGGGAAACCCGGCCAGGGUUAUACCUGGUCAUCGUGCACUGAAUACAUAGGUGUAACGAGGCGAACGCAGGGAAUUGAAACAUCUAAGUACCUGCAGGAGUAGAAAUCAAUUUAGAGAUUCCGUAAGUAGCGGCGAGCGAAAGCGGAACAGCCCAAACCGAGUCAUUUAUGGCUCGGGGUUGUGGGGCCCCGAUAUGGGAUUGCGAAUGGAUAGCAGAAGGGCAUGGAAAGGCCCACCACAGACGGUGAUAGUCCGGUAUGCGAAAUCUUGAAGCACCCUAGGGUGUCCCCGAGUACCACGAGGCACGUGAAACCUAGUGGGAAUCUGGGAGGACCAUCUUCCAAGGCUAAAUACUACCCGGUGACCGAUAGUGAACUAGUACCGUGAGGGAAAGGUGAAAAGAACGGGGGGACCCGAGUGAAAUAGAACCUGAAACCGUCUGUCUACAAGCAGUGGAAGCACGAUGUCGCAAGACCGUGUAACCGCGUGCCUUUUGCAUAAUGAGUCAGCGACUUACCCUAUGCAGCGAGGUUAAGCCGAAAGGUGUAGCCGUAGCGAAAGCGAGUCUUAAUAGGGCGACAAGUUGUAUGGGGUAGACCCGAAGCCGGGUGAUCUAUCCAUGACCAGGGUGAAGCGAAGGUAAUACUUCGUGGAGGCCCGAACCGAUAUAGGUUGAAAACUGUUCGGAUGAGUUGUGGCUAGGAGUGAAAGGCUAAUCAAACUCGGUGAUAGCUGGUUUUCCUCGAAAUAUAUUUAGGUAUAGCCUCGUAUGAUGACUGACGGAGGUAGAGCACUGACAAGGCUAGGGGUCCCCACAGGAUUACCAACCCUUAUCAAACUCCGAAUGCCGUCAAGUUCAAGUACGGGAGUCAGACUGCGGGAGAUAAGUUCCGUGGUCAAAAGGGAAAGAGCCCAGACCGUCAGCUAAGGUCCCUAAAUGCAUGCUAAGUGGUAAAGGAUGUGGAACUGUUUAGACAAUCAGGAGGUUGGCUUAGAAGCAGCAAUCCUUUAAAGAAAGCGUAAUAGCUCACUGAUCGAAUGGGUCUGCGCCGAAAAUUCAACGGGGCUAAAGCAUGCUACCGAAGCUACGGAUAACGCGCAAGCGUUAUGGUAGAGGAACAUUGUAGUAACCUGAGAAGGUACACCGUAAGGAGUGCUGGAGGACCUACAAGAGCUUAUGCUGACACGAGUAGCGAAAAUGCGGGUGAGAAACCCGCACGCCGAAAACCUAAGGUUUCCUGAGUAAAGUUAAUCUGCUCAGGGUUAGUCGGUCCCUAAGGCGAGGCCGAGAGGCGUAGUCGAUGGAAAACGGGUUAAUAUUCCCGUACCAUUUUAUCAGCGUUUGAGCGAAGGGGGGACGCAGAAGGGUAGGUCAUCCGGGCGUUGGUUGUCCCGGUUUAAAUGUGUAGGCGGAGGAUCUAGGCAAAUCCGGAUCCUUGUUAACGCUGAGGCAUGAUGACGAUGCGGUUUACCGCAAUAAAGUGAUUGAUCCCAUGCUGCCAGGAAAAGCCUCGUAGUGAGUUGAUAAAGUGACCGUACCGUAAACCGACACAGGUAGGUAGGAAGAGUAUUCCAAGGCGCUUGAGAGAACUCUGGUUAAGGAACUCGGCAAAAUAACACCGUAACUUCGGGAGAAGGUGUGCCCUCGUAGCGUGAAGUGACUUGCUCAUGGAGCGUAAGGGGGUUGCAGUGAAAUGGGGGGAGCGACUGUUUACUAAAAACACAGGACUCUGCGAAGUCGAAAGACGCAGUAUAGGGUCUGACGCCUGCCCGGUGCUGGAAGGUUAAGGGGAAAUGUUAGUCGCAAGGCGAAGCUUUGAACCGAAGCCCCAGUAAACGGCGGCCGUAACUAUAACGGUCCUAAGGUAGCGAAAUUCCUUGUCGGGUAAGUUCCGACCUGCACGAAUGGCGUAACGAUUUCCCCACUGUCUCAACCAGGGACUCAGCGAAACUGUAACACCGGUGAAGAUGCCGGUUACCCGCAGCUAGACAGAAAGACCCCGUGCACCUUUACUAUAGCUUGGCAUUGGAUUUAGGGCUAUCAUGUGUAGGAUAGGUGGGAGACUGUGAAGCGGGAACGCUAGUUCUCGUGGAGUCAACCUUGAAAUACCACCCUUGUUAUCUUUGAAUUCUAACCUAGACCCGUAAACCGGGUCAGGGACAUUGUCUGGUGGGUAGUUUGACUGGGGCGGUCGCCUCCCAAAGAGUAACGGAGGCGCGCGAUGGUUCCCUCAGGCUGAUUGGAAACCAGCCGUAGAGUGUAAAGGCAUAAGGGAGCUUGACUGCGAGAGAGACAUCUCGAGCAGGUACGAAAGUAGGUCUUAGUGAUCCGGCGGUCCCGAAUGGAAGGGCCGUCGCUCAACGGAUAAAAGGUACGCCGGGGAUAACAGGCUUAUCUCCCCCAAGAGUCCAUAUCGACGGGGAGGUUUGGCACCUCGAUGUCGGCUCAUCGCAUCCUGGGGCUGGAGCAGGUCCCAAGGGUUUGGCUGUUCGCCAAUUAAAGCGGUACGCGAGCUGGGUUUAAAACGUCGUGAGACAGUUUGGUCCUUAUCUGAUGUGGGCGUAGGAUAUUUGAGGAGAGCUGUUCCUAGUACGAGAGGACCGGAAUGGACGAACCACUGGUGCUCCUGUUGUCUCGCCAGAGGCAUGGCAGGGUAGCUACGUUCGGAAGGGAUAACCGCUGAAAGCAUCUAAGCGGGAAGCCUACUCCAAGAUAAGAUAUCCCGUGGGAUAACCCACCUAAAGGCUCGUUGAAGACUACAACGUUGAUAGGCCAGAUGUGGAAGUGUGGUAACACACGGAGCUUACUGGUACUAAUAAGCCGUGCGGCUUGACCAU
rnacentral:rRNA from 1 species